rnacentral:rRNA from 1 species
UACGAACCGUGCGACCGUUGUUCGGAAUCACUGGGCUUAAAGGGCGCGUAGGCGGGCUUGCAAGUCUGUGGUGAAAUCCUCCAGCCCAACUGGAGAACGGCCGCGGAUACUGCGAGUCUCGAGGGAGGUAGGGGCGUGCGGAACAGAUGGUGGAGCGGUGAAAUGCGUUGAUAUCAUCUGGAACUCCGGUGGCGAAGGCGGCACGCUGGACCUCAUCUGACGCUGAGGCGCGAAAGCGAGGGGAGCAAACGGG